GGAGGAAAAGAAAAUAACAAUGAUUUCCCUAGUAACGGCGAGUGAAGAGGAAAGAGCUCAAAGUUGGAAACUGUUUGGCUUAGCUAAACCGUAUUGUAAACUGUAGAAACAUUUUCCUGGCACACCAGAUUAAUAAGUCCUUUGGAACAAGGCAUCAUGGAGGGUGAGAAUCCCGUCUUUGAUCUGAGUAGUUGUCUUUUGUGAUAUGUUUUCAAAGAGUCAGGUUGUUUGGGAAUGCAGCCUAAAUUGGGUGGUAAAUCUCACCUAAAGCUAAAUAUUUGCGAGAGACCGAUAGCGAACAAGUACCGUGAGGGAAAGAUGAAAAGAACUUUGAAAAGAGAGUUAAACAGUAUGUGAAAUUGUUAAAAGGGAACCGUUUGGAGCCAGACUGGUUUGACUGUAAUCAACCUAGAAUUCGUUUUGGGUGCACUUGCAGUCUAUACCUGCCAACAACAGUUUGAUUUGGAGGACAAAAUUAAUAGGAAUGUAGCCUCUCGAGGUGUUAUAGACUAUUAUCAUACUCUGGAUUGGACUGAGGAACGCAGCGAAUGCCUUUAGGCGAGAUUGCUGGGUGCUUUCGCUAAUAAAUGUUAGAAUUUCUGCUUCGGGUGGUGCUAAUGUUUAAAGGAGGAACACAUCUAGUAUAUUUUUUAUUCGCUUAGGUUGUUGGCUUAAUGACUCUAAUGAC
rnacentral:rRNA from 1 species